rnacentral:ncRNA from 1 species
AGACUACGACGUAGAUAGGUCAGGUGUGUAAGCGCUGCGAGGCGUUGAGCUAACUGAUACUAAUUGCCCGUGAGGCUUAACCAU